rnacentral:misc_RNA from 1 species
UACGUAGGGGGCAAGCGUUGUCCGGAAUUAUUGGGCGUAAAGCGCGCGCAGGCGGUCAAUUAAGUCUGGUGUUUAAGGCUGUGGCUCAACCACAGUUCGCACUGGAAACUGGUUGACUUGAGUGCAGAAGAGGAAAGUGGAAUUCCACGUGUAGCGGUGAAAUGCGUAGAGAUGUGGAGGAACACCAGUGGCGAAGGCGACUUUCUGGGCUGUAACUGACGCUGAGGCGCGAAAGCGUGGGGAGCAAACAGG